rnacentral:rRNA from 1 species
GAUGAACGCUGGCGGCGUGCCUAAUACAUGCAAGUCGAGCGAACGGACGAGAAGCUUGCUUCUCUGAUGUUAGCGGCGGACGGGUGAGUAACACGUGGAUAACCUACCUAUAAGACUGGGAUAACUUCGGGGAACCGUAGCUAAUACCGGAUAAUAUUUUGAACCGCAUGGUUCAAAAGUGAAAGACGGUCUUGCUGUCACUUAUAGAUGGAUCCGCGCUGCAUUAGCUAGUUGGUAAGGUAACGGCUUACCAAGGCAACGAUGCAUAGCCGACCUGAGAGGGUGAUCGGCCACACUGGAACUGAGACACGGUCCAGACUCCUACGGGAGGCAGCAGUAGGGAAUCUUCCGCAAUGGGCGAAAGCCUGACGGAGCAACGCCGCGUGAGUGAUGAAGGUCUUCGGAUCGUAAAACUCUGUUAUUAGGGAAGAACAUAUGUGUAAGUAACUGUGCACAUCUUGACGGUACCUAAUCAGAAAGCCACGGCUAACUACGUG